AGGGCAGAGGUGCUGGAGAGAGGCCCCAGGCCCCUCCGCCACCGAGGAAGCAAAGAACCCCGUGAACCAAGUCGCCACUCGAGAUUUUACCCAGUGAGAACAUGUUUAGGACACUUUUCUACAGUGGAAGAAAAGCUUCUGUCUGCAGGUCCAAAGGCACCGUCCUGAGUUGGAAAAAGAUGAAUCAGACCCAGUCCCUCCCUGGAGUUGCUCAGAGGUCUGGAGGAGAAAGGCAUAGAGCCCUUUCAUCAUCCUUGUUGCUUGUCUCAACCACUUUUAAGUCUGCCAACAUCUUUCUGAUCCUUAAGUAAACAGGACAAAUCACUCUGCUGGGAGGCAUGAACUCUCUGCCCUACCUUGGCCUUCUGGAAGUAACGCUGAUUGAACAACAGACAUGCAGUGGGAGGCUGAGCUCCGUUUCUCAUGCCUGUGUGGAGAGCAACUGCGGAAGGUAAUUGUAAGAUUAUUGCAUCUGAAUCAGAACCACAGGAGCAUGCAGCCU
rnacentral:lncRNA from 1 species